UGCUGCAGCUGCUGGCCAUCAGUUCAUUUUCCCACGGACAAAACAGUACUGUGUACCUUCAAGGAAGAGAGGAGAAAAGAUUGGGGGUGUCAAGAAGGGGAGAGGCUAAAGGCCCACUGGGGACUGAGGCACUUCAGCCCUCUCUCUCUCUCAAAAGCAGGUCCCACUCCCUUCUACAGAGGCAGUCUGGGUUCUGGGAAGACUGUUUUGUUUUCUAGGUGGAUCAAGACCCGGAAGAUGUCCAACGGUGCCUCCAGGAACUUUUGGACAUUGUGCUGAAUUGUGCACAGGAGAUGCAUCUUGUCCCAAGGGACAAAAAUGCUGCAGCAACGGUUGUGGCCAUGUCUGCCGAACUGCUGUUUAAGCCGAGGAAGACUUCUUUACCCAUUUGGAUGAUCCAUGAACCUUAGCCUCCUUCAGUGACCACUCCUAAAUGUCAUCUUUAUUCCAACACCCUGGAGGAGAACAGCUUUCCUACUAUCUUUUCCUGCCUGCUCUCUAUUCCUGGAACCCCUGUACCACGACAGGAGGAUAUAAAAUAACUUUGGUUUAAAUGCUCGGUUCUGGCAAUUGUGUGAGGAAUCAUGGAGUGACUGCUUCCAAGAUUAACCUUCUUCUGAAUAAAAUUAUUUCUGUUGCAUUAA